rnacentral:rRNA from 1 species
GGAUGAUUUGGGGAAGGACGCCCGACUCGAGGCCUUGGGUUGGGGAUCUUGGAUCAGAGUCAGGCCUGAGAUCAGAGGCUUUAGGGUUUUUUUUGUGAAUGAAAAAUGCAUGUUAUUUACAAAGUGGGAGGAUAAGUGUUAAUAUUUGCUUGACUGCACGUGAGACCUGGGAUUUUAAUCGUGGGGCUGAAAACGAAGGGAUACAAGGAUACACAACACACCUCGGAUUCACAGGAUAUGUUGCCUAAAUGAUGUGCCCUGUUUUGAUGGUUGAAAAGCCACUAGAUAAUUCUAGCUCCCACGCUCCUGCGACGCACCACUCCGGUGCCCGCAGCCACCAUUGUCGCCGCCCAGCUCCCUCCAUCCCAACAAGGCUACUCCCCGGUCUCGCCGCGGUUCCCUCCGGGAUUCCCUAUGCCGUGGUUCUUGCGACCAGAUCCGCUGGUGGCCCUCUUCCCACAGCUUGAGGGGGGCUCCUUAGAUCUGCGUAUCCAGACCGGCGCUGCUCUGCCGGAGUGCUGCGCGGCGGCCUCAGGUGCGAUAAGGCGUUCCGCAAGGUGUGGUUCGCUUCUCAGGAUGCCCUGCUGGAUCCCACCCCCAAGCUCCCCGUCCAUGGCCUCCUCCGGCCAUGUCUGAAAGCGGCGCCGGCUGCCUCCAUGUCGGCGGGUCGGCGUGCGGCGCGGGACGCCUCCUCGAGCCCGGCGUCUCCUGUUGCAGGUUCAAGGCGGGGCACAUCCUCGAGCCAUGCACCUCCUUCUGCGGACUCAAGGUGGUGCCCCGAUGCGGACUGCAGCCGGUCGGAGGAAUGGCAUCUCGUUCGGCCAACAUAUUGGUGGCGUCAGCGGCGCUCCGACCUCCAGCUUCCGAGCCGCCGACCCGCGUCUUCAUUUUCUGCCCCUGGGCAGAGAGCAUUCGUCAAGUUCAUAGAGUAAGCCAUUGUUGCCUCCUCAAAGGACACCUGAAGAUUGAAUGUCGAAAUCCAUUCACCUGCCUCAGAUGCCGUCAGAUUGGCCAUCGCGCUCGGAACUGCACCAACCCCCUGAAGACGCCACCACCGCCUCCACCUCAGACGCUUCGCCUGCGGCCACCGUACAACGGUUGCCUAGUUCUUCUGCAGCAUGCCUGCACCCCGCUGGACCAAUCACCCGCUCGCAUCCUGUCGACGGAGAGCCCCGCCAUCGAGAAAGACAUGUGCCGGCGCCGGGUCGCCACGAUGACGACGACGAUAAUGAGUGUGGUGCGGUUAGCCCUGCUUCGGGCCGAAGGGCAAGGAACAGAGCGCACGACCGCUCGCCUGACGCGUCGUCCCGAGACUCUGUUGCCGCUGCCACCCUGGAUUCUCGCGGACGCUCACCUCCGCCAUCGCCGCGCACCACCUCUCGAGACAUCUCGAGAUCAAGACUACCAGCUCUGCCAUGGUCUCGCCUCCGCCAUUGCCGCGCACCACCGCUCAGGACAUUAUCGAGAUCGAGACUACCAGCUCUGCCAUGGGCUGGCUCUGUGGAACCACCGCCGGUCUAGAUGCCAGGAUCCAGCCGUCCUUCUCGCUGGAUGAUUGUGAGACGCGAGAUUCUUCGAUGCAGGCAAAGCCUGAGCUUGUGCUGGCAACACCUGAUGGGGAGAUCACCCCAGCUCUGUACCCAGGCAGCUGCAUCUUUUAACUCCUCUGGUGCGGUACUCUCGACGCCAACCCCUCCGGAUAUGCAACAAGAUACUAGCCCGGGCCUGGACCACAACAGUGAGGCAAGAUCUACACCCAUCCACUACUCCUCCCCGGGAUGCUUGACUGAAGACGCAGCUACUCCAAUCUUCAUUCCUCGCAUGCCGGCCCUGCUGCCGUCUCCCUCGCCAUGCACAACUCCCCCAAGACCUCCCAAGGCGAGACACAAAACUUUGGCAGGUGUCACUGGGUUCCAGUUGCAGAGACAAAGCCCACGGCUUCGGGCCAAGAAAAGGGGUGUGCCCAUUGCCAAGCUUGCGGAGCAACUUCUAUGCCACCGGAUGGGCAUCGUUGCUGAAGGCGAACAGGUCACGGAGACGGCAAUCAUCAAGUUUGCUAAUCUGUUCCAUGAUCGCCUUCCUGACAUUGCGAUUGCGGUGCUGCGUGCGCUGUUUCAGCUUGAUUGUGACCUCUCCACCGCGGUCGAGGACGCCCUGGUGCUUCAUGGAGGGGAAGGUGGGCCGGAUGUGAGCGAGCAGGCUGCUGGGGAUGCUUGAAGCUCCGUCUGCCGCUGAUGAUGUAGCCAAGUUUCUCAUGUUAGUGCACCCUAAUAGCCGGUCCUUAGUGUGGUUCUGUACGCCUGUUUGUGGUUGCGCCUGUGCGCCACUGAACUUGGGCCUGGCGAGACUGGUCGUCGCUGUAACUACCACGCCUGUUUGUGGCUGCGCCUGUGCACCAAUGAUCUGGGUCCUAGCGAGACCAAAUAUGGCUGUAGCGUUCAAGAAGUUAUGUGUUCCCCAUGUGGGUUAUGAGGUAGCUCUGGUUCCCAAAUGUUAGAAAACAACUUAUCAAUCCAGUGC